GACUUGGUAGCUCAGUGGUAGAGUGCAUGCUUUGUAUGUAUGAUAUCCUGGGUUUAAUCCCCAGCUUCUCCCCAGGUCA
rnacentral:tRNA from 1 species